rnacentral:rRNA from 1 species
GUGCAGCAGUCGAGAAUUUUUCUCAAUGGGCGAAAGCCUGAAGGAGCGACGCCGCGUGGAGGAUGAAGGCCUUCGGGUUGUAAACUCCUGUCAUUUGAGAACAAGUGCCAACAAGUAACUACUGUUGGCUUGAUAGUAUCAGAAGAGGAAGGGACGGCUAACUCUGUGCCAGCAGCCGCGGUAAUACAGAGGUCCCAAGCGUUGUUCGGAUUCAUUGGGCGUAAAGGGUGCGUAGGUGGCGCCAUAAGUCAGGUGUGAAAUUUCGGAGCUUAACUCCGAAACUGCAUUUGAUACUGUGGUGCUUGAGGACUGGAGAGGAGACUGGAAUUUACGGUGUAGCAGUGAAAUGCGUAGAGAUCGUAAGGAAGACCAGUGGCGAAGGCGGGUCUCUGGACAGUUCCUGACACUGAGGCACGAAGGCCAGGGGAGCAAACGGGAUUAGAUA